AAAACGCUUAUGCUCAAAAGUUCUAAACACAAAAGCGCGUUUUCUUCAUUGUUGCGUCUUACAACUUCAGCUCAUGGAUUCGUGUUCAUCAUUCAACAACAUUUCUCAUGGAUUCGUGUUUUCCAUUACCAUCUCAGAUUCAUCGAUUCAAAGUUUCAUCAACCAUGAAUUCAAUCAACAGCAUUCCUAAUUUUUCAACCUCAACAAAAUUGAUCGAAACCGAAACGAAAUUGCAAGACAAAAUUGAUACGAAACGCAUAUUGAAGCUAGAAGUAACUCACCGGAUUCGACGCGGUGGUAAAAACCAGGAUGGAUGUUAGCAGGGCCAUGUUUGUGUUAAAAUUGGAUUCCCUGUCAAAUUUUAUGCAGGAUACCAAUUGGUGUAGCAACAAUGCCCUUGAGUUGUCUUUUGUUUUCUUGAUUUUGGAUGACCAAAUGGUACUUGAGGUGGAUUUCAGUUUUGCAGGUUAAACAUCAAGUCCAGCUAUGGGUAUGAAGUUAUGCACAUGGAUGAUACUUGAAGCACAUUACCAAUGGGAAUUAUGGAUGUAAAGAAAAUGAUAGAUUAGGAUUAAUUUUUUUUGCUUAUUUUGGAAAUUUGUAAUGUGGUAAUGUAUUAGAAUGAAUUUGGUUAUAAAUUGGAUGUAAAGUUUAAUUGAAUGGGUUAAUGGAAAAUUGAUUGUGUUGAA